rnacentral:misc_RNA from 1 species
CUGGAAUGUUUGAAAACGCGAGGCACUCUUGCGCUUUUCGGACAAUCCAGCGGCCCGGUGCCCGCAUUUAACCCUUCCUUGCUUGCGCGCAACUCAUUAUUUUUAACCCGUCCUUCGAUCGCACACUAUACGGCCACACGCGAAGAACUUCUCGAGCGCGCCGGCGAAGUCUUUGAAUGGAUCCAAACAGGCAUUUUGAAAAUCCGAAUGGAUCAAACGUUC